GAUGAACGCUAGCUACAGGCUUAACACAUGCAAGUCGCGGGGCAGCAUGGGGGUUGCUUGCAACUCCCGAUGGCGACCGGCGCACGGGUGAGUAACGCGUAUCCAACCUGCCCUUCACCACGGGAUAACCCGGCGAAAGUCGGACUAAUACCGUAUGUUGUCCAUUGACGGCAUCCGAUUUGGACGAAAGGCUUUGCGGUGAAGGAUGGGGAUGCGUCCGAUUAGCCAGACGGCGGGGUAACGGCCCACCGUGGCUACGAUCGGUAGGGGUUCUGAGAGGAAGGUCCCCCACGCUGGAACUGAGACACGGUCCAGACUCCUACGGGAGGCAGCAGUGAGGAAUAUUGGUCAAUGGGCGUAAGCCUGAACCAGCCAAGUAGCGUGCAGGAUGACGGCCCUAUGGGUUGUAAACUGCUUUUAUGCGGGGAUAAAGUGGCCCACGUGUGGGCUUUUGCAGGUACCGCAUGAAUAAGGACCGGCUAAUUCCGUG
rnacentral:rRNA from 1 species